AGAUAAAGAAGAUGAAGAGAGAAGCUCAGCUUUCGAUUCUUGAUCCCGGCUCCAACGAUGUAUUUUCUCGUGUUCUUCCUCAUUAUCAACAAUGGAUAUCCAUAUACGGAGAGACAUUUCUUUACUGGAGCGGAACAGAGCCGAGGAUAUGCAUCUCAGAUCCUGAACUUGCAAAACAGAUCUUGUCAAGCAAGUUAGGUUGUCAAAUCACAGAUAAGACCCGAGGUCAUCAAACUUAUCGGCAUCAUCAAAGGACAUGUCUUUGUCGAAGGUACGGAUUGGGUUCGCCAUAGAAGAAUCUGGAACCCUGCUCUCUCCAUGAAUAGGCUCAAGAACAUGACGAAGCUUGCUUUAUUGGACUUGAGAUCCUCCAUUUUCCUGCAAACGUUAACAAGACGCACGCACGGGCUUAAUUAGAGAGCAAACAAACAGGAGAGAUCCAAAAAUAUUGUCAUGUCUAAUCUCAGUGAGCCAAUGCAAUUAUUACAUGGAA